AGUGAACGCUGGCGGUAGGCCUAACACAUGCAAGUCGAACGGCAGCACAGUAAGAGCUUGCCCUUACGGGUGGCGAGUGGCGGACGGGUGAGGAAUACAUCGGAAUCUACUUUUUCGUGGGGGAUAACGUAGGGAAACUUACGCUAAUACCGCAUACGACCUACGGGUGAAAGCAGGGGAUCUUCGGACCUUGCGCGAUUGAAUGAGCCGAUGUCGGAUUAGCUAGUUGGCGGGGUAAAGGCCCACCAAGGCGACGAUCCGUAGCUGGUCUGAGAGGAUGAUCAGCCACACUGGAACUGAGACACGGUCCGGACUCCUACGGGAGGCAGCAGUGGGGAAUAUUGGACAAUGGGCGCAAGCCUGAUCCAGCCAUACCGCGUGGGUGAAGAAGGCCUUCGGGUUGUAAAGCCCUUUUGUUGGGAAAGAAAAGCAGCAGGUUAAUACCCCGCUGUUCUGACGGUACCCAAAGAAUAAGCACCGGCUAACUUCGUG
rnacentral:rRNA from 1 species